rnacentral:lncRNA from 1 species
UCUGCCCAGGAAAGCGCCGCUUCCAGGCAGAGGAGGUUCGAGAAAGCGACUCUAUCAGGUACAGCACUAGUAGCUGUCUGUGAAGAUGGAGGGGGAUUACGCCUCGGAUUCUUCUGAAAUAUUGGCCAAAGGCUUCAAAGGAUCCGCAGCGGGAGGCGAGGGUGGGGGAGCAUCUCCCCAGCUCGCACCCACCCCUUCCCACUUUGCGUCUACCAAAUGACAGGCUGGUGCUCGCUCUGGGUGAUUUUGGCCUUGGCCUCAGCCAAGCAGCUGAUGCAGAGGAGGGCCAGCUUUGCAAGACUGACAGAACUCUGAAUGCUAGAGAAAGAAGAAGAAAAAGAAAAAGAUUUUUUUUUUUUUCGAGCAGUCCUUGGGAGAUUUUCUCGUUCUCUCUCGAUUUAUUUAUUUAUUUAUUUCUAUUUUUUUUAACCGACUAUUUUCCAAAUUCGAUCAGCCCCAGCCCCUCCCUCCACUCCCACCCAACAGCCUUCCCCCCCACCCCCCACCCACGGUCAAAGCAUAAACCACAGAGUUACGGUCUUCUUUGGAUUUUGGAGUAUCGCUUCCUGCCCCCGCCUUCCCUCCCCGCCCCAUUCUCUGUCCUAUUGAACACCUCGCCCAGCCUAGAGCUCACAUUCUCCCCCGGCUCCGGAUGGCGCUCCUGGAAGCUCUGCAACUAGGCUCCACUUCAAAUGGACCCAUAACUGGUGUUACACCCCCACUCCCUGCCACCACAAAUACUGAGUCCAUUCCAGGAAUAGAAACCGCCGAAGGAUUACAUUCUCCACGGAGAACGAUCUCUAUGAAGGAAGAAGAUGGACAAUGUCUAUACGCCAUCUUCAGUUGGUAACGCUGUGGCAGUUAGCAUAACCAGUGCUAGGCGAGAUUCAUACUGGCUGCGGUAUGCGUGGCCAACCGGAGUGAGGACAAAUCCCAUUCCGUCUGAAGACUGUCUCCUGCCAGAGAUCAAAUGCAGCUCGCACAUACAUGACGCCAAGCAGAAUGGCACACUAAGAGAUUUUCCAUGGCGGGAGCUCGGCACUCCUGGUUUACUUUGUUCAGGCGUUGUGUUGGGAUUUGAGGAGACUGGCUACAACUCCACAGGGCGGUUGCUGAGGAUGGAGCCUCCGUGUGUCUCAGAAGACUGCAAUUCUUACUGCUAGGAGACUGCAUGGCUAGUUCCCUCUGAGUUAAGCUUCUAUUUCUGAAGCCCAGAUGCAAUGAGGAGGUGCCUAUGAUAGACACAGAAUACAAACCCCACACAGCUUAAAGCUGGCAGAUGUCCUCUGCAAAACGAUGCCACACCUUGACCCUGAAUGAGGAAGAAGGCAGGGAUCCAUAGGAUUAUCCUGAGUGGAAAACAUGGCUUCCACUUCUAAUUUGUUUUUGAAAAACGGAAUCAUACCUAUGAAUUUCUUAAUAAAAUAUCUUUCUUGUAAAAUGUAGUCA